rnacentral:sRNA from 2 species
GGUGGCUGAGGCAUGCGUGCGCCAACGCCCAAUGAAAUCCUUCGCGUGUGAUUUCUACGGCCAGCACGCGCUCCUGGUUUUUCUUGCUCGCCCAGCCGCAGCGGUAGGCCAUCCAGAGAAAUGAGGGCUUGAUCCAGGUCAUGCGCCCGCGCCUGAAAGGGGGCACAAAUUUCCCUGCGGCCACUGCGGCGUUGGCGAUGGCGGGCGAAUAGGCUUGGUAAACCGUGAUAGUCGUUGGAGUGUAUUGAGCUCGGAUGGCGUAUUUGGAUGGGGAUGUUUUUGGCUGCUCCAUUGCUUUCGAUUAGUGGGGGUGUUUUCAAAGGGUAUGUAUGUGUGGAUGCUGCGAUUCUGAGUUCGUGGAAUAAUUGCUCGUUGGAGGAGGAGUUGACCAGGGAAUGUUCGGGAGUUCGCAAUAUAUGAAUGGACCCGAUUCAAAUGCUCUCGUUGACAGUUUUCAAGAGCACAAUUCACGGCAUCCUCCUAGAGUUUGUGGCAGCCAUUUAUGUUUCUGGAGGCUUGAAGAAUAGCACCUAUUGAUCUGGGGCUGUUGCACUAAGCCACGCUGCGCAAAAAAAUGUGGACAGAUGCAUUGGACGCCUUGAAAUCAAUUUCCCCUUCGCGAGAAGGGUGGAGGAGGCGCAAGGAGGCUGCUUGUUUUAACCAGUUAUACAUCCAGCUUAACGGCGUAGGCAAGGUCGUAUAUCUGGCCCGAUUUACUCCCCGCGCUGGGUUAGUUCCCCGACAACGCGGGGUUCGUAAUUCUGCCGAAGGCUCCAUCAUCUGAGUCAUAUACAGACGCAUUGCCACAGUUUGGAGAGAACGCCAAAGAUGGGGAAGCAGAUGCUAUCUUUUGCUCCAUGUUCUAUUUCGAGCGACGACUGCAAAGCGCUUCAAGGAUUGUUAUGUGACGAGGAGCAUUAAAGCAUAAAAACAAGAAAUUUAACUACUAGUACCUAGUUAAAAUCUUGAACUCAGAAUGGAAAAAUAAAACCAGUGCUCAAAGAGAUGAGAGUAAACUGAAUGAAAAGCA